rnacentral:rRNA from 1 species
UACGAAGGGGGCUAGCGUUGUUCGGAAUUACUGGGCGUAAAGCGCGCGCAGGCGGCUAUCCAAGUCAGUGGUGAAAGCCCGGAGCUCAACUCCGGAACUGCCAUUGAAACUGUUUAGCUUGAGGACGAGAGAGGUGAGUGGAAUUCCCAGUGUAGAGGUGAAAUGCGUAGAUAUCGGGAGGAACACCAGUGGCGAAGGCGAUCAUCUGGGGUUGUUCUGACGCUGAGGAGCGAAAGCUAGGGGAGCAAACGGG